rnacentral:lncRNA from 1 species
CGUGAUUCCGGAGCCCGAUUCCAGAUCGCAAGGUGUUUUUUUCUUGGACAUCGGGAUGAUGAUACACACUGGAGGGAGAGAGAGGACACAGGAAGAGUUUGAGGCAAUGGCGAAGGAAGCAGGGUUUACAGGGUUCAAGGCCACCUACAUAUCUCUCUAUUCUUGGGUUAUGGAGUUCACAAAGUAGAUAAAAGAAAGAUCUAUGUCAUGUGCUGCUGUAGUAGAGUAGAAGAUAUACAUGCCUUAUGUAUUGCUUUCAGCUCCCUGCUGCCAUAGUAAGCUACCACGAGGUCGAGAGACCUCCGAAUGGACUUUGCUACGCUUUGAAAUCAGACUUUGCGACAGUGCUGUAAUAAGAUUCCAAAAGUUAUAUGUUUAUGAAGGUUUUGCUCGUAUUUGUUGGAAAAAGUUCACAUUUCAAACAGAGAUUUGAAUAGGAUUUAUAAUGUGUAUAUACAUUAGAAAUAUUUUUCUUUAUAUAAUUUUUUAAGUUAUUUUUUAAAAAUAUUUAUUUUGAUUGAAAGUUUUUACGUUUGUUAUUUGUUAAAUAAAGUUGCAUACUAAAUCUCUUCCAGACUCGUCUAAUAUAUUAUUUUUGAGAUAUUUAUAAUAAUUCUUGAUAUUUAUCCCUAAAUAUCUCAAUGCCAAUAACAUAAAAUAUUUUAUUCAUAUCAAUCAUCUUAAAAUUCUUGAUGAGAAAUUUUUUAGUCUUGUACAAGAAACUAAGGUCACAAUUUGGAAGUAAAAUAUUAUCUAUAUACAAGAUCAAUAUAAUAAGCUUGCUCCCACUAAUUUUUAUAUAUAAAUAGUGAUCGACAUCAUUUUUUUUAAGAUUCGAAAAAAGUAAUGAUAUCAAGAAACUUUAUAUACCAUUGUUUGUAUUUCUGAUCAUAAAUAUAUUUUAAAAUUUAUAUAUAAAAUUUUUUUCUCUAUGAAUUGUUUAGUUUAAUCCAUAUAAAUCUUCUCAUCGAGAUUCUUAUUCAAAAGUUACUUUUAUAUCCAUAUGAUAUAAUACAAAAUCAGAAUGAAUUAUUAAUAUUAUGAUGAUUCUUAACAAGUUUAUUUAAAAAAUUAUAAAAAUUAUCUCGUUAUGAUCGAUAUAUUCUUUAUGAGUAAAAUUCUUGGUCACAAGUUUAACUUUUAUAUCGUUUGAUAUUACUCAUUGAAUAAUGUUUAUAGAUAACAAAACAACUUGAUGAGUUUCUUAAAAGCUAUUUUGGUGCAUUGAUCGAAACUUUUUUUUAAUAUAUUAUAUUAUUUUUUAUAAUCGUUACAAUGAGGAACUUUUUAAUUCCUAUUUCACAAUAUGAUUUUUUCAAAUGUACUAUAUAAACUAUAUAAUGAUAGGUCUUAUUUUUCUUUGAGAUCUUCUUAGAACUAUCGAUUGUGAUUAUUUUAUAAGAUCAUUAGCGAUUGAUAUCAACAUCAUAUAGGAGUUCAUCAAUAUUAUUCUAUUAUUCACCCACAUCAAUUCUUUUAGUAAUUUAAUAAACAAUAAUCACUUGAAUAUAAAAUGAUAAAAGAGUAUCAACAUGUAUUUUUUCAAUAUCAAGAUUAAAUUUUAAAAUUUUUAUUUUCACUAAUUUGUUAUUUUUUAAGAAUCUUGUAUUACCAAAUUUAAUUAUCAUCGUACUACGAUAAAGUUAAUAAAAUAAAUAUUCCUAUGAUUUUUUUAGAUAAAUAAUAAAAUAUCUAAAUAUAAUCCUUGAAUCUAAUUAUUUUUCAUAUAAAUUGAAGAUCCUUAUCUGUGUAGGAUAAUUAUAAAUAUAUAAAUAUCUUAGUUUUCGACUAGUCCAUAACAAAAAAAUAUAUAAUGAAAUUGACUUAAUAGAAACUUUAUUCAAGAUAUAAUCAUCCUUGGAGUAUCUACUCAUAUUAAUUCGAGUAUAAAAGAAUAACUCAUAAUACUUAUAACCAUAUCCGUAAGAGUAUGAUUUCGUCUUUCAACAAUCUCAUUUUGUUGUGUUACUUUUGAUAAGAUAUACUAAGCACAAAUACCUCGUUAUUCUAAUAAUCUAACAAAAGACAUAAAAUUAUGAUUCAAUUCAUCAAGACGAUAUCAUAAAACUUAUCAUCCUUGUCAGAUCUGAUAAUUUUAAUUUUUAUCUGAUUAUCUUAUCAUAGAUAUAAAUAUAUAUAAUUUAAUAAAAUUAUAAUUUUAUUUUAAUAUUUAAUUAUAGAACCAUUAUAAACUUCGAUACAGUCUUCUCGGACAAGAGGUUGGGCUGCAGUCAUUGGUGGCCGGCAUGUUGCUUAUGAGUUGGGAGACUAAGAAGAGUAAGAGAGGCGGGGUCGGACUUUAUACUAAGCUACAACUUCAAGUAUAAGGUGACGAACAACACACUGAUCAUCUACGCAUUAAUAUGACAUCGAUAUGACAUACGCAACCCGUAGUUAAAAGAAUUGUGUUUCACGGCCAUGACACUGCUAGCGUGAACUAUUUAUUGAUAUGUUUCUCCCUCAUCCGAUGAUGAUGAUGUUUCUCCCUCCUCCGAGCAUCACACCCAUGAAAAGAUGAUACGAAACAAAUGGUUGGAUGGAAAGAAUGUUUACAUUUGGGAUACCGUUAUAUCAUUGUAAGCAUCAGCUGGAACUGCUUAACGAAACCCACCUGCCGGUCAAUUUGAAUUGGUCGUGUCGGCCGAUUGCCACGAGUUAAGUUUCGAGACAAGAUCGAUCAUGUCGUUCGUACAUUUGAUUAACCUUUGGGUUGCCUGCAAAUACGGCACUGUACGCAGCUUGUGGAUCCAGUCGACGUGAACUCACGCGCAUGCCAUGCCAUGCCAUGUCGUUCCCAUAAUGAAAGAAAAUUUGAAUCAUUAUCCAUCCUUUUCUUCUAAUAUAUAUAAUAACGGAUGGACAUAUUUUUUUCUAGAAUUGUAAUAUACUAGUAGGCAUGUGACCAGCGAUGUUUCCAAAAAUAUAAAAAAUAAAAAAUAAAAAAGAGAGCUAAGAGCCGAUGAUUUGAAGGAAACUUAGCACAAGUAUAAAGGAUAUUCGAACGAUAUGAAUUUUAACGAAGAUCUCGAAGGUAAUAUAAAUCUAUCGAAUAGCCUUCAAUCAACCUCAUGAACAUAUUUAUAGUUUAGAAAUUUAUAUGAUGGAUAUGAUGGGUAGAUAUGAUCGAUCAGUAUUAAUGCAUGGAUAUGAUGGAUAGAUAUGAUCGAUAAGUAUUUACUUUUUUUUAAAUAAAAAAUAAAAUAAAGAUAAAAUUGGAACUUAGAACCUUAUAUAAACUAUGGAUCAGAAUAUUUAUAAAUUAAACUAACUAAUAUAUUCAAAAUAUAUCAAUUAAAAUUUUAAAUUCUUAGUCUUUGAUAAAUAUAUUUGAUACAUCAUCACAGUACUAAUAUAAGAUGUACCGAUCAUAUACUUAUUCCAACAUUGCAUAAAGUAGGACUAGUCAGCGUGUCAUUGCGUGAUAGUAUUGCGACCUCGUAGUCAUGACAUGAUCAAUCCUCCUACUUGUAGUAUACAAAUAUUCUUUUGUUUGUUUUCCUUUUCUAUCUUAUGUCGAAACAAAAUAGUCGCCUAAACUACUACACAUAAAAUAUACAUUCAAAAUAUUUCACUUGACAUUUUAAACCCUUACUAUUUAAUAAAUAUAUCAUACGUGUGACUAGUCAGCAUAUCCACGUUUGACUUCAAUGAGCCUUUUGGUCAUCUCCGUGAUAGUCUGGCGAUCUCGUAGUCAUGAUCAAGCAACGUGAGCAAUCCUCCUACUUGUAGUAUACAAGUAUUCCUUUGUUUUGUUUUCUUUUUCUAUCUUCUGUGAAAACAAAAUAGUUGCCUAAACUGCUACACAUAAAGUAUGCAUUGCAAGAAAAAUAUGACACAAUAAAUCUAGGGCUCUUAAUCUUCUCGCCAAUGGCAUGCAUGCAUCAAGACAUUUGAACUUUGCGUACCUCUACGCUAAGAUAUUCAGUGCUUCGACGCAUAUAAAUCUCAUCCCAACGAUUACUCCCUUAUCAAUUUGAUCCGGGUUUAUAGAGCUCCUCCAUUAUCGCCUCCCUCAUCAUCAUCUCUCUUUGUAAGGAUGGGAUUCACCAAGGGAGUGGUGCAGCAGCUGAGCCCCGAGGAGGAGGAGGAGGCACGCUUGCUCGCCAUGAGGCUUGUGACGGGAUCCUGCCUCCCAAUGAUUCUCAAUGUGGCCAUCGAGCUCGAGCUCCUCGAGAUCAUCGUCAAGGCUGGCCCCGGCGCCAAGCUGAGUCCCGACGACAUCGCCACCCAGCUGCCCACCGAGAACCCACAGGCGGCCGAUAUGGUAGACCGGAUCCUCCGCCUGCUCGCCGCCAACGGCGUCGUCAGUUGCUCUGUGGAAUCCGGCGACGAUGGGCGCCCCUCGUGCAAGUACGGGGCCACGCCUGUCUGCAAGUACCUGACCAAGAACGAGGACGGCGUGUCCAUGGCCGCUUUCUGCUUGAUGGUCCACGACAAGGUCACCAUGGAGAGCUGGUAGUCGACGGAGCCAACAACGUCUACUCUUACUCGUUUCUUCUCGCACUAAAAAGUUGGCCGAAGGAUUAAUCAGCUUAUUGGUUUUGCCUCCACAACGAUCGCAGGUACUACCUGAAGGAUGCGGUGUUGGAGGGGGGCAUCCCAUUCGAGAAGGCCCACGGCAUGACGGCGUUCGAGCACCACGGCGGCGAUCCACGGUUCAACAAGCUGUUCAACGACAGCAUGAGGAACCACUCCACCAUCUUGAUCAAGCAACUGCUGGAGACCUACCGCGGCUUCGACGACGUCAAGGUGCUCGUCGACGUCGGCGGCGGGACCGGCGCCACGCUCCACAUGAUCACCUCCAGGCACCCGCACAUCAAGGGCGUCAACUUCGACCUCCCUCUUGUCAUCGCCAGCGCAACGACCAACCCAGGUUCGCCAUUUAUAUCAGACAUUCGUCACUGUCAUAGUGCCUACCUCUUACAACGAAGCAAAAGAAUUCAUAAACUUGGGAUGCGUUGGCUCCAUGCAGAUGUAGAGCACGUCAGCGGCGACAUGUUUGAGAGCAUUCCGGGUGGAGGAGACGCCAUUUUCAUGAAGAACAUUUAGAUUUUUUCCUUACUCAUUUAAUGUUUGAGGUUUUGGUUAGGCAGCAUGUCGAACUUAUCAAAAAAAUUUGAAGGUUAUUAAUGAAAGAUACCACUCUUCAAAGUACUCGAGACAUAUCAAUCAACCAAAUGAAAAGGGUAAAUCAAGCGGGACAAACAAUCAAAAAGAAUGAAGGAAAAAUAUUUACACUUUAAGAUCGAGGAGAUGGAGUCAAAGAAAAAGCACACAAGGCACAAAUAUCGUCCUCCGCUUCCUCAUAGGGUGGAGACGCGGAGUUAUGCAUCUAUUCGCAACAAGUUUGACAACUCAUUAGUCUUUAUCGACGUUAUUUUGCAGUGGAUUCUUCACGACUGGACUGAUGAGCAGUGCGCGAGAAUACUAAAGAACUGUUGGAAGGCUUUGCCGGAGGAAGGGAAGGUUAUAGUAGUGGAAUACUUGCUUCCCGUGAUUCCGGAGCCCGAUUCCAGAUCGCAAGGUAUUUUUCCCUUGGACAUCGGGAUGAUGAUACACACUGGAGGGAGAGAGAGGACGCAGGAAGAGUUUGAGGCAAUGGCGAAGGAAGCAGGGUUUACAGGGUUCAAGGCCACCUACAUAUCUCUCUAUUCUUGGGUUAUGGAGUUCACAAAGUAGAUAAAAGAAUGAUCUAUGUCAUGUGCUGCUGUAGUAGAGUAGAAGGUAUACAUGCCUUAUGUAUUGCUUUCAGCUCCCUGCUGCUAUAGUAAGCCACCACGAGGUCGAGAGACCUCCGAAUGGACUUUGCUACGCUUUGAAAUCAGACUUUGCGACAGUGCUGUAAUAAGAUUCCAAAAGUUAUAUGUUUAUGAAGGUUUUGCUCGUAUGUUGUUGGAAAAAGUUCACAUUUCAAACAGAGAUUUGAAUAGGAUU